rnacentral:rRNA from 1 species
UCGGGAAUUUUGGGCAAUGGGCGAAAGCCUGACCCAGCAACGCCGCGUGAAGGAUGAAGUAUUUCGGUAUGUAAACUUCGUAAGAAUAGGAAGAAUAAAUGACGGUACUAUUUGUAAGGUCCGGCUAACUACGUGCCAGCAGCCGCGGUAAUACGUAGGGACCAAGCGUUGUUCGGAAUCACUGGGCGUAAAGCGCACGUAGGCGGAUUUGUUAGUCAGGGGUGAAAUCCCGGGGCUCAACCUCGGAACUGCCUCUGAUACUGCAAAUCUCGAGUCCGAUAGAGGUGAGUGGAAUUCCUAGUGUAGAGGUGAAAUUCGUAGAUAUUAGGAAGAACACCAGUGGCGAAGGCGGCUCACUGGAUCGGUACUGACGCUGAGGUGCGAAAGCGUGGGGAGCAAACAGGAUUAGAUACCCCAGUAGUCCCUGAGCGGGCUGGCAAGGCGCAU